UGGGGAAUAUUGCACAAUGGGGGAAACCCUGAUGCAGCGACGCCGCGUGGAGGAAGAAGGUCUUCGGAUUGUAAACUCCUGUUGUUGGGGAAGAUAAUGACGGUACCCAACAAGGAAGUGACGGCUAACUACGUGCCAGCAGCCGCGGUAAAACGUAGGUCACAAGCGUUGUCCGGAAUUACUGGGUGUAAAGGGAGCGCAGGCGGGAAGACAAGUUGGAAGUGAAAUCUAUGGGCUCAACCCAUAAACUGCUUUCAAAACUGUUUUCUUGAGUAGUGCAGAGGUAGGCGGAAUUCCCGGUGUAGCGGUGGAAUGCGUAGAUAUCGGGAGAACACCAGUGGCGAAGGCGGCCUACUGGGCACCAACUGACGCUGAGGCUCGAAAGUGUGGGUAGCAAACAGGAUUAGAUACCCUUGU
rnacentral:rRNA from 1 species